AGAGAGGUGGUGCUGGCAGGGGAUGGCAGCUCUGGUGCCCUCCCCACCGCGCUGCCUCCUAGUUCCCUUGCUGCUUGAGCUCCCUGCCAACACCUGCUCCAGAAGAGGGUCAGCCUGGCACUGGGCCCCAAGGACAGCAGUGGACCACAGCAGCCUGCACAACUCGGAGGCCUCAGUCUUCUGCUGGGGCUGGUCCCUAAGAAGCCAGGGGCUGAGCUUCAUGGGGAGCAGGGAGGAAACCCCGCUGUGUGAACCAGGAGCCCCGCCUUGGGCAGAGCAUGGUUGAGGAGCAGGAUGGUUCUCUUGGGUGCCCUUCCUAACAGCUCACCCCCUUCUCAAGGCAAGAGGGAGACUGGGUGCGGCAGGAGGGGAGGGAGGUAGAAGAGCCAGGCAAAGGCUUGGAGGGGCGAUGAGAGAGGUUGGGGGAGAGGCACACAGCGAGGAGGAGGAGGAUGGGGAAGGGGAGGAAGAGUGAGAGGGGAAGGGGGAGGAGCGGCAUGCAGCCAGGUGGUGGAGGGACCUUGAAUGCUGAGCAAGUAGUUAGUCCUGGUGUCAGUGGGAGCCACAGAAGAUGCUGAGCAAGGAGCCACCAGAGGCACAGAGCAGGAGGGAGAUCACGGCUACAGGGCAGUGAGAAGAAGCCAGAGGGGUCCGCAUUCGGGGAGUGGUGCCCUCCUGUAGGGGCAGCUGGAACCCAGGCCUGGUUCCAACCUGUGCUUGAGCUGCUGUGGGCAGCUAGGCAGCUGUGAUUUGGGGCAACAUGAUGGCCUGUCCCUGUUUGUUGGGAGGGUCAGAUAGUAUAAUGUGGGCAGAGCUGUCCUGGAAGGGAAUUACUGUCACUAGUAGGGAGGAAGCAUGGCUUGGAUUGGGGCUUAGGCUCCCGA
rnacentral:lncRNA from 10 species